rnacentral:lncRNA from 1 species
GUUAAUAGAGUCCUACGAGAUGAGAAGAGUAACUGGUGAAUGGGCUCUAUUUUUUAAUCUAGUUGGUGAUUUAUGGAGAAGAGAAAGAGACUCUUCAGGUUUCUGCCUUUCCAUCUCAUUUCAAGAACAGAAAUACAUCGAGAUGGGGCGUCCUUACUCCCAGUCUUUCCAGAUGUUCUUCCCACUCCUCAACUGCUCCUGGCUCAGAAACCCUGCACACCUGGAAGAAAGUGAGAACCAGUUUUUCAACAAACACAUUGCACAGACUUAUUGUGAACCCCGGGUGGAAUCAAGCAUCGGAGGAAGAGAACGUGGUAAUAUUGACUCCAAUCCAGAAGACAGUCAUCAGUUAAGUAAAUAAAACAGGAACAGAACAUUGGUACUUACAGUAGGCAUGAUUUUAAGAUAAACCCCAAUGAGUCAUAUCCUUGUAUAAUCUCCUCCCCUUGAGUGUUGUUGGAGCUAAUGAGUUGCAUUUAGUGAACAGAAUAUGGCAAAGAUGGUGGGAUCGUCACUUCCGUGGUUAUGUUAUUGCUAUGUAAACUGCCAUUAUAGCAGACUGGAAGGAUUGAUUCUCCUUUUGGCCAUGACGUAGUGAGGUACCAU